rnacentral:rRNA from 1 species
UACGUAGGGGGCGAGCGUUGUCCGGAUUCAUUGGGCGUAAAGCGUGCGCAGGCGGCUUUGCAAGACAGAUGUGAAAUCCCCGGGCUUAACCUGGGAACUGCAUUUGUGACUGCAUGGCUGGAGUGCGGCAGAGGGGGGAUGGAAUUCCGCGUGUAGCAGUGAAAUGCGUAGAGAUGUGGAGGAAUACCGAUGGCGAAGGCAGGCCCCCUGGGCCAAUACGUGACGCUCAUGCACGAAAGCGUGGGGAGCAAACAGG